CUUGGGGUCUCUUCCCCCACCUCCUCACUUCUCCUUUUUCAUAGGGACCCUAUGCGAACAGGCAACUGUUGUGGAAGCUGAGGAACUCUGGCCAGGGUCUCCCUCCGGUGUGUUCCAAAGGCCCCACUGCUCACUGAGCCCCAGUAGCUGCCGCCCGAACGGGAGCCUAGAUGUUGUCUCUGAGCCAUCCCAAGAGUGCCUUCCACGUUUCAGGGAAUUGCCAAAAGGAGGUCCUGGUAAGGAACACGGAACUAAUAAGUCUCCACCA